rnacentral:tRNA from 1 species
UUUUCAGAAGUUUAAAUUGUAAAUGGCUUAAUUUCACUGGGCAGAUUGGGUUUAUACCCCUGAAAAA